UACGGAGGCCUCAAGCGUUGUUCGGAUUUAUUGGGCGUAAAGGGUGCGUAGGCGGCGUGGUAAGUCUGGUGUGAAAGGCGGGGGCUCAACCCUCGGACUGCAUUGGAUACUGCCAUGCUAGAGGACUGGAGAGGAGAAUGGAAUUCACGGUGGAGCAGUGAAAUGCGUAGAUAUCGUGAGGAAGGCCAGUGGCGAAGGCGAUUCUCUGGACAGUACCUGACGCUGAGGCACGAAGGCUGGGGGAGCGAACAGG
rnacentral:rRNA from 1 species